rnacentral:rRNA from 1 species
UGACGCAGCGACGCCGCGUGCGGAAGAAGGCCUCGGGUUGUAAACCGCUUUCAGGAGGGACGAAGCCACUCGGGUGAAUAGCCCAGAGGGUGACGGUACCUCCAGAAGAAGCCCCGGCUAACUACGUGCCAGCAGCCGCGGUAAUACGUAGGGGGCAAGCGUUGUCCGGAUUCAUUGGGCGUAAAGAGCGUGUAGGCGGCCAGGUAGGUCGGUUGUGAAAACUGGAGGCUCAACCUUCAGACGUCGACCGAAACCAUCUGGCUAGAGUCCGGGAGAGGAGAGUGGAAUUCCUGGUGUAGCGGUGAAAUGCGCAGAUAUCAGGAAGAACACCCGUGGCGAAAGCGGCUCUCUGGAACGGUACUGACGCUGAGACGCGAAAGCGUGGGGAGCGAACAGGAUUAGAUACCCUGGUAGUCCACGCCGUAAACGAUGGGCGCUAGGUGUGGGAGGUGUCGACUCCUUCCGUGCCGCAGCUAACGCAUUAAGCGCCCCGCCUGGGGAGUACGGCCGCAAGGCUA